rnacentral:lncRNA from 1 species
UCAGCAUCCCAGGUAGCUGGGAUUAACAGGUGCCCGCCACCAUGCCCAGCUAAUUUUUUCUAUUUUUAGUAGAGAUGGGUAAAAAAUCCUUAUGAUGCAAGAAUAAGUUGUCUCAUUUCCUUGGCUGAAUAUUACAGUUUCAGAAGUUAGGAAAGAGUCUUUCAUCCACGACUAAUCUUCUCCACCAAGUCACUGGCUUCAAAUUUUCUACUUGUUCUUGACACUUAGAAUUUUUUUCUCUCUCAUUUUUUCUCUCUCUCCCUCUCAGGCUACAUAGUAAAACCAAAUAUUUUAAAAUUACACCUGAUUUAGCAUUUCUUUGUGUGGGAGAGAGGCUGUGUAGCCACAUUAGUUAGUUCACCCAGAAUUGUGUUCAUCAGAAAUUUUCCCCGUAAAAUUUACAGUAGGGUUGAUAUGAAGAAUCAGUGCCUUUUCUUUCCUCCUGACUGGGCAUACCAGGUUGCACUGACAAUAUUUUCUAAAAUAGAUUGUAUUCUGUACCAGCAACUCGUUUCUUUAUUCUAU